CCUACGGGUGGCUGCAGUGGGGAAUAUUGGGCAAUGGGCGAAAGUCUGACCCAGCAACGCCGCGUGAAGGAAGAAGGCUUUCGGGUUGUAAAGUUCUUUUCACAGGGAAGAGGAGAGUACGGGACCCGUCGAAUAAGGCAUGGCCAACUUCGUUCCAGCAGCCGCGGUAAUACGUAGGUGGCGAGCGUUGUCCGGAUUUACUGGGGGUAAAGGGCGGGUAGGGGGGCUGACAAGUCAGAUGUGAAAUCCGGGGGCUCAACCCUCGAACUGCAUUUAAAACUGUUGGUCUUGAGUAUCGGAGAGGCAGGCGGAAUUCCUAGUGUAGCGGUGGAAUGCGUAGAUAUUAGGAGGAACACCAGUGGCGAAGGCGGCCUGCUGGACGACAACUGACGGUGAGGCGCGAAAGCGUGGGGAGCAAACAGGAUUAGAUACCCUAGUAGUC
rnacentral:rRNA from 1 species